rnacentral:misc_RNA from 1 species
CAACCCUCAAGCUCAGCUUGGUGUUGGGACUCGCGGUAACCCGCGUUCCCCAAAUCGAUUGGCGGUCACGUCGAGCUUCCAUAGCGUAGUAAUCAUACACCUCGUUACUGGUAAUCGUCGCGGCCACGCCGUUAAACCCCAACUUCUGAA